rnacentral:rRNA from 1 species
GGCUCAUUAUAUAAGUUAUCGUUCAUUUGAUAGCACCUUACUACUUGGACAACCGUGGUAAUUCUAGAGCUAAUACAUGCUGAAAACCCCGACGUCAGGAGGGGUGUAUUUAUUAGAUUAAAAGCCAAUGCCCCCCGGGCUCUCUGGUGAUUCAUGAUAACUUCGCGGAUCGCACGGCCUUGCGCCGGCGAUGGUUCAUACAAAUUUCUUCCCUAUCAACUUUCGAUGUUUGGGUCUUGGCCAAACAUGGUUGCAACGGGUAACGGAGGGUUAGGGCUCGACCCCGGAGAAGGAGCCUGAGAAACGGCUACUACAUCCAAGGAAGGCAGCAGGCGCGCAAAUUACCCAAUCCCGACCCGGGGAGGUAGUGACAAUAAAUACUGAUACAGGGCUCUUUUGGGUCUUGUAAUUGGAAUGAGUACAUCCUAAACCCCUUAACGAGGAACAAUUGGAGGGCAAGUCUGGUGCCAGCAGCCGCGGUAAUUCCAGCUCCAAUAGCGUAUAUUAAAGUUGUUGUGGUUAAAAAGCUCGUAGUUGAACCUCGGGCCUGGCUGGCCGGUCCGCCUCACCGCGUGCACUGGUCCGGCCGGGUCUUUCCCUCUGCGGAACCCCAUGCCCUUCGCUGGGCGUGGCGGGGAAACAGGACUUUUACUUUGAAAAAAUUAGAGUGCUCCAGGCAGGCCUAUGCUCGAAUACAUUAGCAUGGAAUAAUGAAAUAGGACGCGCGGUUCUAUUUUGUUGGUUUCUAGGACCGCCGUAAUGAUUGAUAGGGACAGUCGGGGGCAUCAGUAUUCAAUUGUCAGAGGUGAAAUUCUUGGAUUUAUUGAAGACUCACUACUGCGAAAGCAUUUGCCAAGGAUGUUUUCAUUAAUCAGGAACGAAAGUUAGGGGAUCGAAGACGAUCAGAUACCGUCGUAGUCUUAACCAUAAACUAUGCCGACUAGGGAUCGGACGAUGUUACUCCAUGACUCGUUCGGCACC